rnacentral:rRNA from 1 species
UACGGGAGGCAGCAGUGGGGAAUAUUGCACAAUGGGCGGAAGCCUGAUGCAGCGACGCCGCGUGAGUGAAGAAGUAUUUCGGUAUGUAAAGCUCUAUCAGCAGGGACGAAAGAAGUUGAAAGACACUUCCUGACGGUACCUGACUAAGAAGCCCCGGCUAACUACGUGCCAGCAGCCGCGGUAAUACGUAGGGGGCAAGCGUUAUCCGGAUUUACUGGGUGUAAAGGGAGCGUAGACGGUUGUGUAAGUCAGAUGUGAAAGCCCAGGGCUCAACCCUGGGACUGCAUUUGAAACUAUGCAACUGGAGUGCAGGAGAGGUAAGUGGAAUUCCUAGUGUAGCGGUGAAAUGCGUAGAUAUUAGGAGGAACACCAGUGGCGAAGGCGGCUUACUGGACUGUAACUGACGUUGAGGCUCGAAAGCGUGGGGAGCAAACAGGAUUAGAUACCCUGGUAGUCCACGCUGUAAACGAUGAAUACUAGGUGUCGGGGCCCAUCCGGGCUUCGGUGCCGUCGCAAACGCAUUAAGUAUUCCACCUGGGGAGUACGUUCGCAAGAAUGAAACUCAAAGGAAUUGACGG